UACGUAGGGGGGCUAGCGUUGUCCGGAAUCAUUGGGCGUAAAGCGCGCGUAGGCGGCCAGAUAAGUCCGGUGUGAAAGUCACAGGCUCAACCUGUGAAUGCCGCUGGAAACUGUCUGGCUAGAGUCCGGAAGGGGCGAGUGGAAUUCCUGGUGUAGCGGUGAAAUGCGCAGAUAUCAGGAGGAACACCAAUGGCGAAGGCAGCUCGCUGGACCGGUACUGACGCUGAUGCGCGAAAGCGUGGGGAGCAAACAGG
rnacentral:rRNA from 1 species